rnacentral:rRNA from 1 species
AACGAACGCUGGCGGCAGGCUUAACACAUGCAAGUCGAGCGCCCCGCAAGGGGAGCGGCAGACGGGUGAGUAACGCGUGGGAAUCUACCCAUCUCUACGGAAUAACGCAUGGAAACGUGUGCUAAUACCGUAUACGUCCUUCGGGAGAAAGAUUUAUCGGAGAUGGGUGAGCCCGCGUUGGAUUAGCUAGUUGGUGGGGUAAAGGCCUACCAAGGCGACGAUCCAUAGCUGGUCUGAGAGGAUGAUCGGCCACACUGGGACUGAGACACGGCCCAGACUCCUACGGGGGGCAGCAGUGGGGAAUAUUGGACAAUGGGCGCAAGCCUGAACCAGCCAUGCCGCGUGAGUGAUGAGGGCCCUAGGGUUGUAAAGCUCUUUCACCGGUGAAGAUAAUGACGGUAACCGGAGAAGAAGCCCCGGCUAACUUCGUGCCAGCCGCCGCAGUAAGAC